rnacentral:rRNA from 1 species
AACAGGAUUAGAUACCCUGGUAGUCCACGCCGUAAACGAUGAGUGCUAGGUGUUGGGGGUCAAACCUCGGUGCCGCAAGCAAACGCAAUAAGCACUCCGCCUGGGGAGUACGUGCACAAGCAUGAAACUCAAAGGAAUUGACGGGGACCCGCACAAGCAGCGGAGCAUGUGGUUUAAUUCGUGGCUACGCGAAGAACCUUACCAGGACUUGACAUAUAUAUGAGGGGACAUAGAGAUAUGAAACCAGUAAGAGCUUGCUCUUAACAUAUAUACAGGUGGUGCAUGGUUGUCGUCAGCUCGUGUCGUGAGAUGUUGGGUUAAGUCCCGCAACGAGCGCAACCCUUGCAAUUAGUUACUAACAGAUAAAGCUGAGGACUCUAAUUGGACUGCCGAUGAUAAAUCGGAGGAAGGUGGGGAUGACGUCAAAUCAUCAUGCCCUUUAUGUCCUGGGCUACACACGUGCUACAAUGGUCGGAACAAAGAGGAGCGAAAUGGUGACAUCAAGCAAAUCUCAAAAAACCGAUCCCAGUUCGGAUUGUACUCUGCAACUCGAGUACAUGAAGUCGGAGUUGCUAGUAAUCGCGGAUCAGAAUGCCGCGGUGAAUGCGUUCCCGGGUCUUGUACACACCGCCCGUCACACCAUGGAAGUUGGCAAUACCCGAAGCCGAUGGCCUAACCGCAAGGAAGGAGUCGUCGAAGGUAGGGUCAAUGACUGGGGUGAAGUCGUAACAAGGUAACC